GCCCAACCGCUGCGCUUUUCUUUAUUCCGCACCCGGGAGGCAGCUCGGGGCGAGGUGUCCUGAGCUAAUCCGGUAUCUCCUCUGCCUGCCUGGAAAUGACAAUUCCGCGCUAGAGCCACUUAUGGUUUGCGGGGUCAGCGGACUCUGACUCAAGGGCGAUCAAUAAAAACGUUUAGUUCAGUAAUAAGCUGCUUUUACCCCCCGAAUAUACUGGGAAAGUUGCGUCACUCUGUUGGACAGGGUGUCCCUGAGCGGCGGAGCGGCCCUUCUUUCCCUACACCACCAUUUCCCAGCUUUGGUGACACUGCAAAUUCUCAUCUCAGGGCUGUCCCCCUGCCUGGUCUCAGCUCCACAACUGUGUUUCAGAUGGAAAAAAGACAAAAACGGAUGUCAUGGAAACCUGCUUUCUGAUGGUGAUCUCCAUCAUUAUUGAAAUGAGCAUUUUGAAAUAUAAAUAACUAAAGGAAAAUGAAAGACAGUCUUCACAGAAAAGGACUACUUAUAUUCCUUUGUCUUUGAGCUUGACUAUAAAAAUUCCUAAAUAAUCAGAGGUGAUCAGAAGCAUAGUGAAGUUACCAGUUGAUAUUUCUCAUGAGAAUGGACUUCAUAGCAAAUCAUACCUAACACAAUGCAGAAAGAAAGGGAGAGACUGCCUUUCUCAGAGUUAUCAAGCUAAAUUUCAAAAUAUUUAAAGAUUUUGUUAUGAUUUACCUGGUUAUCUAUGACAAUGUAGGUUUUUUGAAAUGUUCCACACAAACUACUUUGAAAUUUCUUUUCUUUUCAUAUUCAUAUUUUAUUGCAGAUGCUGGUGAAAUUUCUUGGAGAAUAAUUGGCCUCUUAAUAGCUUCAUUACCACCAGUGAAUCUGCAAAAGCAGAAGCAAUCUUCUAUAAAUCCAAGAGAACUAGAAAUUUUUGAAAAAAUUCCUGGGCAAGUCCCUGGAAUAGAAAUGUUUUGUUGCAAGUUUUCCUGUGUUUUGUUGUAAUAAA